rnacentral:rRNA from 1 species
CCUACGGGUGACAGCAGUGAGGAAUAUUGGUCAAUGGACGAGAGUCUGAACCAGCCAAGUAGCGUGAAGGAUGACUGCCCUAUGGGUUGUAAACCUCUUUUAUAUGGGAAUAACAUGUUCCACGUGUGGGAUUUUGUAUGUACCAUAUGAAUAAGGGUCGGCUAACUCCGUGCCAGCAGCCGCGGUAAUACGGAGGAUCCGAGCGUUAUCCGGAUUUAUUGGGUUUAAAGGGAGCGUAGGUGGAUUGUUAAGUCAGUUGUGAAAGUUUGCGGCUCAACCGUAAAAUUGCAGUUGAAACUGGCAGUCUUGAGUACAGUAGAGGUGGGCGGAAUUCGUGGUGUAGCGGUGAAAUGCUUAGAUAUCACGAAGAACUCCGAUUGCGAAGGCAGUUCACUGGACUGCAACUGACACUGAGGCUCGAAAGUGUGGGUAUCAAACAGGAUUAGAUACCCUAGUAGUC